CUAAAAGUCGUGUGUACAUAAUAUUGUUCAUGUUAGACUGGAGUACCUAGUGGUCCCAUCUGGCCUUAAUCUUUCUGAAUGUAGCAAAGACAACUCUCUUUUACACUGCUUGGAGAGAAGGAUGUGCAUCUUUGCCUUGAGGACUGGAAGCAGCAAGCUGUUGUAGCCUAACCUAAAUAAAGAGAUGCGACCAUGGGAAGGUUAUUCUCCGGUUAUAUUUUCCUGACCUUUGCGAAGAAAGAAGACAAGGCUUCUCUUCCAAGAUGAUGUUCUAGCUGCCGUACUCUGUGGGUGAUAAUUUGCUGAGACUCCAAGUAACUUCUCACAGCAGAAGAGUAGCAACAUUCCCUUAUUAUCUGGAGCCAUACCUUCCAAACAUUGUCUAAUCUUACUGGGGAUUUCAGACAGUGAUGGUGACACAGAGCUCCUCAUGAGGUGUGGAGUCAUCAGGAAGUGGAAAGCUAUCUCUUCAAGGAAGAUGGCUGAUGGCAAGGAGCAGUAACACAGAUGUCAAAAAGAAAUUGUUCUCAGACUUUCUGAUGAAUAUGAAAGACAUUCCGUUUGUGAAGAAUACAGGGGGAGCAAUGUGUUGCCUGUUCCAAGCCAUGUGCUUUGCUAACAGUUGAUGGAUUGCCAAAUGCAUGGGCCACUUCAGCUGGCAGAGAGCCCUGGUUAAAUCAUAUAAUUUGGCAGCACUGAAUUUCUAAUGAACUGUUUUCCUAAUUUCAUAGAGAAUGGCCAGUGUGCCAUGGGAAUUUUGCAGAAAUUAUGGUGUCAAAAACACACCUAGUGCAUGAAAAAGCAACACUGAUGUAUGUGGCUUUGCAGGAUCAAUAUCGUCCCAAGUGUUGACCUUCAGCAAGACCACACAGGAGAAACUGGUUAAGUUUAUCAUCCCCUCUGCUAUUUUGGACUCUGGCAGACUUCUCAGCAUUGCCACUCAGCAAUGAAACAGGGAUACUCUCAGUUUUGACCCUUACCCUUGCUUUCUCCCUCAUGUACAAAGGAAAAUGGCAAGUGAUGGUGGGCAAUCCAUGAGGUUUAUUGCACAGUGUGUGGGAUGAGCAAGCCUAGAUGAUUCAAAGGCAAGGACAGUUGGGUCUGGUGGCUACCUCUAUAAAGUCAGGUCUGAGAAUUUGUAUUCACUACAUGAGAGUACAGACCAUACUGCUCGUGGCCGUUUCUCUCUGCUGUGCUGUAAUUUAUUAUGACAGAAACCAGGGUUAGUGUUAUCUUGCCCAGCUGCCGAGACAAUGAUUAUGCGCUUUUCCUUGAUACAGAGCUGUCUCUCCCUUUAAGAGAAUUGGUGUUUGCAGGGUUUCUGUGUUUCUGUAGGAAUUUUGCCAGCAUAUGGCAGAUAAGCCCUGCAAUAUGCAUCUCUGCAGCAAGAAUAAAGCCAGCCACAGAACCAACCUGGGGCAACCAGAAAGAUCACAGGUGAGACCAGUCCUCCUUUUCCUGGAAAAAAAUUACCAUGUCCCCUUCUAGAAAUAGUAAUAUAAAACCAAACCAAGACAAAAAAAAACUAAAAACCCUGUACCAUUUCAGAACUAACACAAGAGAGAACGAGUCUUUGAGCUACCCUUUCCCGUGUUUCUGCCUUGCUGAUGCAGGAUAAUAUUAAAGUGCUGGUAAACCAUCAUUUUGUCCCCUCCUGUCCAGGUAAGAGAGGGUGAUAAGAGAGAGGCACAGACCAAAGGCACAGAGAGUGCUAGUGAGUAGCCUCUGCUCCUGGACCUCAUGUAGCUCAGUGCUUGUUCUUUCUACCUGUUAUUCAGUCAUGCAGCCUUAUCAGUCACAGUCUUAUUGUGAGUGAAAUAUCAUGACGUGACCCCAGCGAGAUAUAUAAAAUCUGGAUGGAAGGUUGGUUCAUUCUUUCUUUACUUACUUUUACAUAAAGAUUUUUGUCAUUUUACUAAAAUUAACCUUACUAAGAAACACACCACAGUUCUCUUAAAGCUACAGCUUCUGUGCAAACAGAAUUCAUUAUGCCCCCAGCCAACCAUGCACAAAGAAACAAGCUCUGCUUUUCUCUUUCUUCACUGUUUCUGUGAACCCAAAGCACGAAUGGAAUACUGUCCCAGUGAUGCGACAAUGUUAAAAUAAGAAACUGAGAAAUGAAUGUGAACUUAGCAUUUCCAGGAAAAUAAAGAGGCAAGUCUACACUAAGACAGCUCAGGGAAUUUAAGUAAAGACAUACAUUCUAAGAGAGUUUUCUAUUACUGUCAACUAAAUUGCCUUAUGAGUUCCUAAAAAUUCUAAUUUAAGAUUUUGAUCUUUAUUUACAAAUAUUUAAUGACAUAAAUGCAUGCAAGUUUACUUUUUAAAAGAAAUUAAGAUGUAUAAUGGUUACAUAUUGGAGGAAGACAAAGAACAUCUGUGGCAUCACAGUGUUUUUUACACAUAAGAAGAUUGUUUGGGGGAUUGGUUGCUUACAGACACCUGCUUAGCAAUGAUGCCAAAGCCAGCCUGCUUCAUUAGCGCUGACAGAUGACUGAUACCACCUAAUAGCCUUGAUUCUGACAGACAGAUCAGUUGCUUUAGCCAUAUAAAAUCUGUAUAAAUAAUUGAUAAAAACUGACAUAUUAAAUAAAAAUGAAACAGACUUUUGAAUAUUGAAACUUCAAAAGUUUUUUAUAUUAUUAAAUUUGGCAUGGAACAAUGAUCAAAAUUUAGACUUGCACAAAAUAAGUCCCCUGGCUUACUCUGCUGUUCUUUGGGCAUAAUCAGAUAAUCUUUUGCGUUAUAGUUGGAAUGACUGAAAUAAUGACCACCUAGGUAUUUCUUAUUGCCUCAGUGCUGAAAAAAGAAGGAAUCCCAAUAUGUAGUCAUCUUUGUGUAACUUGUUGGAGUUGCUUAAUUUUAUCAUUACUUUUUGUUUCUGGUAAAUAUGAAGUAUAUAUUUAUCAAGAAGCAACUACAUUUAAUUUGAUUUCUCUUCACAUUAAAAGGUCAUCCAUUAUUGAAAAACAUUUAUAAAUGUUUCUGCUACCUCUGAAUAAUACACUGUUCCCCAGAAAUAAAAGUAU